rnacentral:rRNA from 1 species
GACGAACGCUGGCGGCAUGCCUAACACAUGCAAGUCGAACGGACAGACAAGGGCUUUGUUGUUUGCGCUAGUGGCGGACGGGUGAGUAACACGUGAGCAACCUGCCCCUGAGAGGGGGAUAGCUUCUGGAAACGGAGGGUAAUACCCCAUAAAAUAUAAUUAUCGAUUGAGAGAGAUAGCAAAGAACUGCGGUUAGGGAUGGGCUCGCAGCUGAUUAGAUGGUUGGUGAGGUAGCGGCUUACCAAGGCGACGAUGAGUAGCCGGGCUGAGAGGGUGAACGGCCACAAUGGGGCUACGACACAGCCUAGAAUCCUACGGAAGGGAGGAGUGGGGAAUACUGCACAAUGGAGCGAGCUCUGAUGCAGCCAUGCCGGGUAGAGCAAGAAGGUGUUCGGAAUCUAAUCUCCUUUUAUCAGGGACGAUAGUGACGGUACCUGAUGAAAAAGCUCCGGCUAACUACGUG